rnacentral:lncRNA from 1 species
GUGCAGCCCUCGCGCACACCCUGCCGUGACCUCGAGGGGAGAGCUUCGGAUGCUCCCAGAGCAGCCUCUGUUUCUCCUUCAGGCUCAAGUGCCCGGCACACGGUAAAGGCUCAAAAGCCCGCACCCAGGAAGAAACAGCAUUGACAGCCAGCUUCCCGAGGCUGAGGUUCUCCUCCCGAGGGGGAGCGGGGUGCCCCUGAGCAUCCCCUCCUCUGCAUCGGCUCUGCCCUUCCACCUGGACACCCUCGUCUGCAUUUCAAAGCGGCGAGGGUGCUGUUGCUUACUCCUGCCCGUCUCUCCUGGUUAGUGACUCUCUGGCAUUCGCCUCUGGUCUUCCCUGGAGGGACAGGUGGCACCUGGCAGGUGUGACUCACAUCAAAGGCAAAUCCAGAGCCAACUGCAGGGAAUGCAGUCACACACGGGGGCAAAGCUGUCUCCACCUGCUGCCCGAAGCUUUCUCUUUGCCCCUCCUGUUGCCCCAGUGUGUUCCUCCCUCCCUGUCAGCACUCCCCAGCUCCCUCUUCCCCUGCCCCACCGGUGCAGGCCGCCUGGGUCUGCCCUUCCCAGCACUCCCACAGCCAGGCUGAUGUCCCGAGGUCCUGGCUUGGUCACAGUUCUACAGGACUCUGCCACGGUGUGUCCUGCCCAGACUGCCGCGAUUUGUAACCCGCAGAACCCGAGCCCACAAGCCUCACAGGAGUGCGGAGCUGGGGCGGUGGGCAGCGGCUCAUCCUCUCCCUUCCUGAGGUCCAGAUGUCUCCUCCAGAGACAGGAGAAAGGAGGAAGCAGGGAGAAGUCCACUCUAACAGAUGCAGGGCAGUGCAGCAUGGUUACCGCCAGUCCUCGGCCAAAGCUGGGCUCCUGGAAGACCCAAAAGGAGCUCGGAAAAUGCAUGUUGUGCAGUUCCCAGGACGACUAGAAGCCAGUGCCAGCACCCAGGCCAUGUGUGGAAGUGGGCGAGUCACACGACGGAGUUGGGCCCUGGUUUCCACGUGUAAAAUGAGGGAGUUCUCAGUGACUCCACCUGAGGAAUUUUACCUCAGCGGUAGCCAGACAAGAUGUCCAGGCGCAGCUGAGGAUUCACCACCCAUUGCUUAGACAGCAACAGCAACGCUGGGAAACCACACAGCGCCCCAUGGUGCUCUGCACAACUAAGCAUUCACACUGGGGCAGUGGCUGUACCUGCACAGGGCUGCCUGCCUGUCUUCCUGUGUGCCUGUCUGUCUUCCUGCCUGCCUGCCUGUCUGUCUCCCUGUCUGUCUACCUGUCUUCCUGUCUUCCUGCCUGUCUUCCUGUCUACCUGUCUUCCCCUGUCUUCCUGCCUGUCUUCCUGGCUGCCUGCCUGUCUGCCUGUCUGUCUGAGGGAAGAAGACAUGGAGAUACUGCACAAGAUAAAAUAAGUUUAAGAAAUAUUUGACAGACUCAUAUGUGUGGUGUAUUUGCAGCUUGCUUACAAACUCCAAUAUGUGAAGAAGACAGAGCUGCAGGAGGGAGACUGAGCACUUGGAGGGAUGGGCACUGAGUAUUCA